AGUGACAAGCCGAUGGACAAGUCAACUCUUUCGGAACAUGAACUUCGCGUUGAGUUUCAAGGAAUUCGACGGAGUGUCAAAUCAAGCAGAGGACAGACUAUCUAGUUCGGACAUAUCACAAUCAGUGUCUAGUGAUUCAGAUUCAGAACAAGAAACGAACAUGCUUGAAACUCGCUCUACAUCUUGUAAGAAAAAAACUACAUUGCAAGCUACCGUGUCAAAUGAUCGAGACUUAGAAGCAGACAAUCCAGUACAUGAAUUGACAGGUGACAAAACCACAAGCAAAAUUAGACGUAAUCGCAAGGCAAAUCCCGAUAGUUGGAAGUGUGUACAAGCAAAAAUUUUAAGGAAUCAUGGCAAAGCGUAUUUAAAUAUGAAGAACAAACUAGUUCCUGCAAGACAAUUGAAAACCCCAUGUGGAGAUCAGUGCAAAUUAAAAUGUAAAGAAAAAAUUACAGAAUUACAAAGACAGAUUAUAUUUAAAGACUACUGGGAUUUUGGUGACUUGGAACGGCAGCGGGAAUAUAUUAAACGACAUAUUUCCGAAAUUAAGCCAAGAUACUCGUACAAGGUACACAACAGUAAUCGGGGAAAUAAUUUUGCAUGUUAUUUUUCGGUUGGAGAUAAAAAAAUUAGAGUCUGCAAGACUUUCUUCAAAGCCACUCUUGAUAUCAGUGACAGAACUAUCAGGACUGUAAUCCAAAAAACCACAGACACGGGCAAUUUAGAAGAUCGUCGAGGAAAACACAAGAACCACGCUUGUAAAUUUAAAUUGUCGCCAAUUUCUCAUAAAAGGUCACACUCAAAAUGAGGGUGAUAGUGUUCACUCUAUUAUAGAGCGUCAAUCCAAAAGAAGCGUUAAAUAUGGAGCGAUAUACACAUCAUAUUGAUAUACACAGACAACGGCGGCAGCAGAGCAGUAAAGAAAAACGUAGUAACAACAGAAUAUAAUUUUCAAAUUAUUUUCACGCGUACGAAGUCGCGGGCACAGAAUCAGACAUGGCAAACCGAUGGACACGUCAAAUCUUUCGGAACAUGAACUUCGCGUUGAGUUUCGAGGGAAUUGAAGAGGUGUCAAAUCAAGCAAAGGACAGACCAUCUAGUUCAAGCUCUUGUUCGGACAUAUCACAAUCAGCGUCUAGUGAUUCAGAACAAGAAACGAACAUGCUCGAAACUCGCUCUAAAUCUUGUAAGAAAAAAACUACAUCGCAAGCUACCAUAUCAAAUGAUCCAGACUUACAAGUAGACAAUCCAGUAGAUGAAUUGACAGGUGACAAAGAAACCACAAGCAAAAUUAGUCGUAAUCGCAAGGCAAACCACGAUAGUUGCAAACGUGUACGAACAAAAAUGUUAAGGAAUCACGGCAAAGCGUAUGUAAGCUCAAGGAACAAACUAGUUCCUGCAAGACAAUUGAAAACCCCAUGCGGAGAUCAGUGCAAAUUAAAAUGUAAAGAAAAAAUUACAGAAUUACAAAGACAGAUUAUAUUUCAAGACUACUGGGAUUUUGGUGACUUGGAACGGCAGCGGGAAUAUAUUAAACAGCACAUUUCAGAAAUCAAGUCAAAAUACUUGUAUAAAGUACAUAACAGUAACCGGAGAAAUAGUUUUGCUUUUUAUUUUUCGGUAGAAGAUAAACAUAUUAGAGUCUGCAAGACUUUCUUCAAAGCCACUCUUGACAUCAGUGACAAGACUAUCAGGACUGUAAUCCGAAAAACCACAGACACGGGAAUUCUAGAAGAUCGUCGAGGAAAACACAACAACCACCCUAGUAAAUUUAAAUUGUCGCCAAUUCCACAUAAAAGGUCACACUCAAAAUGAAGGUGACAGCUAUGGUGACAGUGUUCAUUCUAUUAUAGGGCGUCAAUCCAAAAGAACCCUUAAAUCUGGAGCGAUUUACGCACUCAAGAAAGCGAAGCAGUUAAGAAAAAUUUUGUAAAUAUUGAAAUUAUUCAAACUAUUUUCACGCAUCCAAAGCCGCUGACACAGAUAGUCUGUGUACUACAACCAAUUUUUCAAAUUACAUGUCAUUUCACUCUAAAGCUUUCACGCCGGCGCGAUCAUAGACCAAUGACAGGUCGCGUGAACUGUCAUGGAUCACGUGAUCUGUCAUUGGCCUAUGAUCGCGCCGGCGAUGGCGAUCUGCACGCGUAGGUGUGGUUAAGGGUUCGGACAAACCAACGCGAUCACACCGCGAUCAGCCGGCGUGCAGCGAUGGCGACCAGACCUAAAUGCAUUGAUCGCCAUCGCUGCACGCCGGUUGAUCGCGUUGGUUUGGCCGAACCUUAAAACAGACGUAGUGUUUAAAUAAUUUUAAAAAUGUG